UUCUGAUUCCAGAUGUAAAAAUAAUGUGAGAAAUUAACUUUAUAUCUAAAAAAAUAAGUUAAACUACUUAUCCAAACUACUUGGGAAAUACAAUAUUCUGAUGAGAAGAGAUGCCAUUAUACACCCUAUGAAAAUUGCCAGUGUUGAAAGAUUGUCAGCAUCUUUACAAGUACCACAUUAAAACUAUACUGACGGUGGUUUUGUGUUUCUCCUUGUUAAUUUGCAGGGCACUUGUGGAUCUAUAGACCUCAGGGUCAUUGAUAUGUAUGGCUUAGGGUUGAAAAUUCUCUAGAGGAGAGCAUUUAGUUACUUGGCUUCAGUUCAUUUGAGUUACAAAUAAGUUAGAGUAGACUUCUGUGUAUUCCUUUCUUGAUGAGAUGCAACUUUCAACCGAGAGGGAAACUGGCACUGAUUUCUCAGUGGUAACCCUUGUUCUCUGUGUCUUUUCUGGAUACAACAGUUCUGUGGAAGCAAAUCAUUGAACGCAAUGGAGGAGUCCUCACCAGUGCCUUGAAUGUCAGCUGCCUGGCGAAGGUCACUGACGGCUUCACCCAAGGACAUAUAGUCGAAGUGGUUAAAGGCGUGCUCACAGAUCAGAGAAUCCGGCGGCAAAUUCAUAAACCUCUCACUGCAGUUGAGUUUAUUACGGCGAUAACCAGCAUGAAUCCGGUGUACAAAGAGGAAGAAGAGAGCUUUAAGAACUGGUAUGCCAAAACCCCUCUGGGUAAAAAACGUGCCUUGGCGAUAACAAGAGGCAGCACAGAAAAGGCAAAGGACAAAGGGAAAAGGAAA
rnacentral:sRNA from 1 species